UACGUAGGGGGCAAGCGUUGUCCGGAAUUAUUGGGCGUAAAGCGCGCGCAGGCGGCCUUGUAAGUCUGUUGUUUAAACUUGGGGCUCAACCCCAAGUCGCAAUGGAAACUGCAAAGCUUGAGUACAGAAGAGGAAAGUGGAAUUCCGACGUGUAGCGGUGAAAUGCGUAGGAGAUGGUGAGGAACACCAGUGGCGAAGGCGGCAUCCUGGACCGGCAUUGACGCUGAGGCGCGAAAGCCAGGGGAGCAAACGGG
rnacentral:rRNA from 1 species